GGUUCAGGGUCAGGGACUCAGGGUUAGGGUCAGGGUCAGGGACUCAGGGUUAGGUUCAGGGUCAGGGACUCAGGGUUAGGGUCAGGGACUCGGGGGUAGGUUCAGGGUCUUGACUACGUCUCCAGCCCCACCUUGGCGAAGCGGUUGACCACCCGGCCGGUGGGCGUGGUGUCGAAGAAGACCAUGGGCACCCUUAGGAGGGUGUGG